rnacentral:rRNA from 1 species
ACUCCUACGGGAGGCAGCAGUGGGGAAUUUUGGACAAUGGGCGAAAGCCUGAUCCAGCAAUGCCGCGUGAGUGAAGAAGGCCUUCGGGUUGUAAAGCUCUUUUGUCAGGGAAGAAACGGUGAGAGCUAAUAUCUCUUGCUAAUGACGGUACCUGAAGAAUAAGCACCGGCUAACUCCGUGCCAGCAGCCGCGGUACUACGUAGGGUGCAAGCGUUAAUCGGAAUUACUGGGCGUAAAGCGUGCGCAGGCGGUUUUGUAAGUCUGAUGUGAAAUCCCCGGGCUCAACCUGGGAAUUGCAUUGGAGACUGCAAGGCUAGAAUCUGGCAGAGGGGGGUAGAAUUCCACGUGUAGCAGUGAAUUGCGUAGAUAUGUGGAGGAACACCGAUGGCGAAGGCAGCCCCCUGGGUCAAGAUUGACGCUCAUUCACGAAAGCGUGGGGAGCAAACAGGAUUAGAUACCCCAGUAGUCCCAUGA